rnacentral:rRNA from 1 species
UACGUAGGGUGCAAGCGUUAAUCGGAAUUACUGGGCGUAAAGCGUGCGCAGGCGGCUUUGCAAGACAGAUGUGAAAUCCCCGGGCUCAACCCUGGGAACUGCAUUUGUGACUGCAAGGCUGGAGUACGGCAGGAGGGGGAUGGAAUUCCGCGUGUAGCAGUGAAAUGCGUAGAUAUGCGGAGGAACACCGAUGGCGAAGGCAAUCCCCUGGGCCUGCACUGACGCUCAUGCACGAAAGCGUGGGGAGCGAACAGG